GCCUACUGCCGCACCACCCUGAUAGCGCCUGAUCUCGGAAGCUAAACAGGGCCAGGCCUGGUUACUACCUGGAUGGGAGACCUCCUGGGAAUACCAGGUGUCAUUGAAU
rnacentral:rRNA from 1 species